UGUAUUGAAAUAACUUUAUUUUACAAAAGAGAGUUUAAAUUAUUAAUGCUAUAUUAUAUUCAGUUAAAAAUAAUGCCUAGGUCUGGCUACGUGCGAUAAGAAAACUAACAUUGCCUGCACACCUACAUAUGUGAUAGUUUUUAUCAACAUCCUAUAGACUGUUUGAAGCAAAAUAGUUAAUAAAAGCCAUGUCAAUUUAAAACGUUGACCACAACAAAUAAAUGUUGGUGAUAUAUAUGAAAAAGGUGCGUCUAGUGAGUGCUACAGGUGGUGGCGUGCAUAAUCCAAUAAGUAUGAUAGUGCUUUACUUUUGGAUAAAAGUAAGAUGGAGGGAGAUAGACAAGAGCAACAAUGCGAGAGGGUGAGAGCGGGAGGAAUCAACAACUUCUGAUGAGAGAGAGAAGCUACAAAACGACCUAGUUUACAAAAACGGGGUUCCUACAUUGUACCUGACGAAUACCCUGAAUAUCCAGACCGUCUAAGAAGCAGCAGACUGUCGUGCACCAUGUCUGCAGGACAAGGACGUUCUAUGGGCUAAGAAGCGGCAGACACAGCACUACUCACGAAUUAUGAUAACACUUAGAUUUUAAUUCGUUGUUAUGUGUCAAGUAGGUAAUGCCACUAUAUUUAAGUAUUAUUCAAUAUACAUUAUUAGCUGAUAACGCUUUCUACUGAUAACAAUAUUCUGAUGAAUGACGCUCAUGUCGCUUAUCUGCGCAAAUUCCUGAUGAUGAUUCUCAAAGUUGCUUAUCAUUCUAACGGACCAUCGUCCGCGCUCCACUUGCUGCGCCAUCUACUGAUAAGCGCUCGUCCCCUUUAGGAACUAUUUGCAGAGAGCACUGUGUGGCUACAUUUGUAACUACGCCUGCGCUGCCUGUUGCUUCGUUGGACGCUAGCGCAGCCCUAGACCCUGAUUUUAUUAAAUGUAUUAAAGUUAGUAAAUAUCACAGGGUAACCGCACCGGCCACGCAUACAAGCCGUUAAUAGACUGGUCGUUGUGGCAGAGACUACUAGGCGCCCUCUGAAUGGGGUACGUUGGGCACAACGGGGCAAAGCCCUCUGGCGGCGUGUUUGCAGAAUUGUAUGCACUGUCUCAAUAGGGGCCCUAGAUGUUGUGUAGAGGAGAACUACAUGGGGACGGCGGCGAAGCCCUAAGCCUCGCGGAAACAUGGGGCAUACCUACGUGGUGGACUCCGGGAGCAAAGACCUACACGGGAGCCCUGAAGGGCGGGGAUGCGUAAGGUGUCCCCAGGCGUGAAAAGGCAUGAGAUUUUGGCGCCGUAUGCCUACUCACCCUGUACAGCAGCCAUGGGGGUUAUCUGUAUAGUCCAGUAUCGAUAAUUGAUCGUUGAUUCUUGACAUGUAUUUCUUUAAUGCACAGUAUCAACAGUAGAGCUGGGAGUAUUUUGACAAG